rnacentral:rRNA from 1 species
CAGCAGCCACGGGAAUACGGAGGAUCCAAGCGUUAUCCGGAAUCAUUGGGUUUAAAGGGUCCGUAGGCGGUCUUGUAAGUCAGUGGUGAAAGCCCAUCGCUCAACGGUGGAACGGCCAUUGAUACUGCAGGACUUGAAUUAUUGGGAAGUAACUAGAAUAUGUAGUGUAGCGGUGAAAUGCUUAGAGAUUACAUGGAAUACCAAUUGCGAAGGCAGGUUACUACCAAUUGAUUGACGCUGAUGGACGAAAGCGUGGGUAGCGAACAGGAUUAGAGACCCCGGUAGUCCCUGUCUCUUAUAC